UGUUAUUACUGCUGCAGGAAUCUGCAAAGCUGACCCGUUCUUAGAUUGAAAGGAAUUUCCUAAAAUUCAUGGAGAAUCUUCCCGAAAGGAGAGUUCCAAAACGUGUGGGAACAGCUUUUCUCUGACCUAUUAUGUCUUCCAAUAGAAGUUCUCCAAAAUGGUCUGAAAAUAUAGCUCUGACUAAAACUGCCUUGGAAUUGCAGG